GACGAACGCUGGCGGCGUGCUUAACACAUGCAAGUCGAACGGAAAGGCCCUGCUUUUGUGGGUUGCUCGAGUGGCGAACGGGUGAGUAACACGCGUGUAACCUGUCCUUGACUUUGUGAUAACUUUAGGAAACUGGGGCUAAUAUCGGAUAGGAGCUCCUGCUGCAUGGUGGGGGUUGGAAAGUUUCGGCGGUUUGGGAUGGACUCGAGGCUUAUCAGCUUGUUGGUGGGGUAGUGGCUUACCAAGGCUUUGACGGGUAGCCGGCCUGAGAGGGUGACCGGCCACAUGGGGACUGAGAUACGGCCCAGAAUGCUACGGGAGGCAGCGGUGGGGAAUAUUGCACAAUGGGCGGAAGCCUGAUGCAGCAACGCCGCGUGCGGGAUGACGGCCUUCGGGUUGUAAACCGCUUUCGCCUGUGACGAAGCGUGAGUGACGGUAAUGGGUAAAGAAGCACCGGCUAACUACGUG
rnacentral:rRNA from 1 species